UACGUAGGGGGCUAGCGUUGCUCGGAAUCACUGGGCGUAAAGCGCACGUAGGCGGAUUGCUAAGUCAGGGGUGAAAUCCUGGAGCUCAACUCCAGAACUGCCUUUGAUACUGGCGAUCUUGAGUUCGGGAGAGGUGAGUGGAACUGCGAGUGUAGAGGUGAAAUUCGUAGAUAUUCGCAAGAACACCAGUGGCGAAGGCGGCUCACUGGCCCGAUACUGACGCUGAGGCACGAAAGCGUGGGGAGCAAACAGG
rnacentral:rRNA from 1 species